AGUGAACGCUGGCGGUAGGCCUAACACAUGCAAGUCGAACGGCAGCACAGUAAGAGCUUGCUCUUACGGGUGGCGAGUGGCGGACGGGUGAGGAAUACAUCGGACUCUACUUUUUCGUGGGGGAUAACGUAGGGAAACUUACGCUAAUACCGCAUACGACCUACGGGUGAAAGCAGGGGAUCUUCGGACCUUGCGCGAUUGAAUGAGCCGAUGUCGGAUUAGCUAGUUGGCGGGGUAAAGGCCCACCAAGGCGACGAUCCGUAGCUGGUCUGAGAGGAUGAUCAGCCACACUGGAACUGAGACACGGUCCAGACUCCUACGGGAGGCAGCAGUGGGGAAUAUUGGACAAUGGGCGCAAGCCUGAUCCAGCCAUACCGCGUGGGUGAAGAAGGCCUUCGGGUUGUAAAGCCCUUUUGUGGGGAAAGAAAAGCAGCAGGUUAAUACCCCGCUGUUCUGACGGUACCCAAAGAAUAAGCACCGGCUAACUUCGUG
rnacentral:rRNA from 1 species